UCAAUGUUGGGAGAAUAAACGAACAAAAGAAGACCGAAAGCAGAGAAGCCAGCUGCCCUGAGCUGCCAAUUUCCUCUCAAAAAACCUGCCAAAGCAUUUCAGAGCCUGGCCCAUUCUAGCCCAUAGCUGAGCCCAGAGGGAGUUGGUUCUUGGUUUAAAUGAUGGCAAAGUGGGAAACAGCUCUGACAGACAAACAUGACAACCUGCCCCAUCUGGAUCAGCACUUCUCACGACGAGGCAUUUUAGUCACCGUAACCAUCUCUUUCCACAUCCUGAAGGAGCCAACUCGAAGACAGCAGAGAGGCCUUGCAAAACAGAGCUGAGAUGCAGUUUGAGUGAACUCAUUUUCAUCUGCCUCUGAACUGCAGCCACUACCUACUCCAGACUUUUCCGAGAGUAACAGUCUAUGAAGAGAGAAGGAAUGCCAGGACGCUUAAGGAAUUGGGAAAGAAAGGUUGGGGAUUCUUGAAAGAACUUCAGUUCAGAAUUGCUUCCAAGCUCUGCCUAGCUCUGGUAAUGUUUUCCUUAUUUGCCUGUGGAAGUGAGAAAAGCUGAAGGCAGAUUUCCUGUCCUAAGGAAGCUAGCUCCAAGACACAGACUUUUCUGCUCAGACAUCAGCUAAAAUUAAACUGUACAUGUUACAGCAUG